AACACCCAGUUGCAAAAAGGAAAGAAAAAAAACUGUGUAAUAGAUGUAAAACGACAUGUAGUAAACAAAUAUGGAAAAAGGGGGUGGUGGAGUGGAGAGAGGACUCAGAAAAUUUACACAAUCAAACUCAAAGGAUCUGAAAACUCAACGUUAACACUCGGUCACAAAAAUGAAAAAAAAAAUAGUGUAAUAGGUGGAAAACAACAUGUAGUAUAUGAAAAAAAAUGCACACUGGUGAACGAAGUGGGGAGAGAGGACUCGGAAAUUUCACUUGCCCAAGGUGCCAUGCAGUGGAACUGAACCCAGAACCAUGUGGUUAGGAAGAAUAUCCAUUUUCUUGAGGGAAAAAAUUGGAUCGUGUGAAUUGUCCUGGUCCUCCCCAGUUUUCCAGCAAGUGCCUUCAACUUUAGCCUUGGGCCAACCAAUGUGUCCUGGAGGCUGAAGGUGGCAUUUCAGAGGAAAAAUUAUCUAUGCUAUAAACAAAGAUGAAAACAAAAAUUUGCACAUGAAAUUUUUUCGAUUCUGUCUUCUGCAUAAUGGUAUUUACAGAAACAAUUGCAGUGUAGAUGUUUGUAAGCCAUUAAAGAACACACACACACACACACACACACAAA